UACGUAGGUGGCAAGCGUUGUCCGGAUUUACUGGGCGUAAAGAGCGCGCAGGCGGUUCGUUCAAGUCGCGUGUGAAAGCCCCCGGCCUCAAUGGGGAGGGUCACGGCGAUACUGAUCGACUCGAAGGCAGGAGAGGGGAAGUGGGAAUUCCCGUGUAGCGGUGGAAAUGCGUAGAUAUCAAGGAGGAACACCGGUGGUGUAGACGG
rnacentral:rRNA from 1 species